UGCAAACUGCACAAACACCAAGUACUAAACAGUGGAAACAAAGCCUAAAGAUUUGAUUUGGAUAAUUGAGGCUGUCCUUAAACUAUAAAAUUACAACGAAAAGUUGUAUUACUUUUUAUUUAUGUUGAUGGCAUCAAUGUAUAUUGAAUUCAUUUCUAACCAUAAAUGUGAUAACUGAAGAACAGUUCAGCCAAUUUUGUGCACACUCCACGUAGCGUUUACUAAAUAGUCGAAACAAAGCCUAAUGAUUUGGUUUGGAUAGAUGAGCCAGUUCUUAAGUUAUAAAAUUACAGCGAAAAGCUUACAUUGCUAGCUAAGUUACAAUUUUCGGUUGUUGUUAUUUACUUAUUUGCUUAGAUCACUUACGUUCGCAAUAACGGCGUGAUUGCUGACAGUGCUAACUUAAAUGUGUCACGUCUAUAACAUUAAAAGAAAAAAUGUAUAUUUCAUUCAAAAUAUAUAGUACAAACAAAAUUUUCAUGGAAAAAUCAAUGUUUAUAACAGAUAUCAAGCUUCCCGUUUGGCACGGUCGGCGUCAAAUAUAUUUCUAAUAUAAAUUUUCCUAUUUCCAGACACGUUACAUAAAACAUUUAUUCUUGCUGAAUUAUACGAGUGUAUUGUCACUCUCUCCUACAGGCACAAUGAAAAUAAUUUUACAGAUUUCGUUGAUACUUUUAUAUAUCAACAAUAUUACAUCAGACAUAAUUAACUAUACAAGAGAAAAUUACAUACUUGUAGAGGAAGAAGAUGCAGCAAUUUUUGAAAAUUACGGAUCAAUAUACCAUUUAACAAAUUUCUCAUUAUUGGAAAAUAUAACAAAAAAAUAUAAAAUGAAGAAAGAAAUAAUAUUAAUUGACAAUUCAUGUAUAGACUUUGGAAUACAAAUAGAAACAUUAUUAAGAUAAUUAAAAAUUGACAAUAACAGACAAAAAAGAGGCAUUCAUUAAUUAGGUACGGUAUGGAAAUUGAUUUCAGGUACACCUGACCGUGAUGAUUUUAUGAAAAUUACAAACAAAAUAAAUGAUUUAAUAGAAAAUAAUAAUAAACAAUUUACAACUAGUUCACAAAUGUUUAAAGCAAUCACAGAAUUAACACAAAUAAUAAGCGAGAAAAUAAUUAACGUAACAAUAUCAGAUCUUAUUGAUGUUUCAAAAUUUAAAAUUGCACAAACAAAUAAUCUAACAAUAGCAUAUGUACAUAUAUUAAAUAUCAAAAAUAUAAAAUAUUUGUAAGUUAUUUAAAGCAAUACUCGUUUCACAAAAAGAUAGAAAAUUACUAAUCGAAAGUGAAAUAAAGAAAUGUGAAAAUAAAUUUUAUUCAGUGCAAUUAUGUAAAAAAUAAGUUAAAUAGUGCAUUUUGUAUGAUAAAAAAAAUACAACUUGUUUAUCAGACAUGUUGAAUAAUAAACAUGCUAAUUUUAUAAAAGAAUUAUAAUGCAGAAUUAUGAAAUUGUCCAUUUAAAAUGGAAACUUCUCACUACGACUAAAUAUUAAAAAAAAUCAUUGAAUUUCACCUGGGGGAUUACUCUGUAAUUCGAUACGAAUAUGAGAAUGUUCGCAUCUUCAAUUUUGGUACUCUGUAAUGUGACAAUCGCAGUAAAUUUUGAAAUUUUCGAAUUUAGUUUUUCCCUUUCGCAUUCAGUUUUUCCCUUUCGCAUUGGCGGUACUCUGCUAUGCUAAAGCAAUUGUCAAACAUGCGUUCUAUUGGUAAUUUUUGUGCUACAAGUAUAAAGAAGUCGCAUUGCUUGAAAAUGGAAGAACCGAAAAUAAAACAACAAACUCAACCAAAGCAAUUUGAAAUUCUCGUGGAUUUCAUGAAGGCGCAUCCCGAUUUAUCGAAAGGAUCACUAAAAACACCAGACGCCAAAAGUACCUCCAAUAAUUUAUGGAAAAAUUUAGUUUCCCAUUUAAACGCAGCUUGGCCACCAUUGUGCGACAUUGCGGGGUGGAAAAAGGUUUGGGCAGACUAUAAGAUUCACUUAAAGGCAAAAAUGCGACGAAACAAAAAUAAUAUUUCGGGAACUGGAGGUGGUCCCUCACUUUUCAUACCCUUAUCACAGUUAGAGCAUCAAGUGAGUGAGUUAUUGUCAACAGAGGAAUCAAUAAGUGGAAUGAGCGGUACCUUGUCAUUCGGUGCAGUCACAAGCAGCAUGUCGGAGUUCGUCCUCAAACUUUCACGUUCUCCUGAGAGGUUCCAUACGUGGGAGUCAUGCGAUGCGCCUCCAAAUCUACCAUUUACUGCCCUUAUCUGCAUUUUGUGAUCACAUAUCUAAAAAAAGUUGUAGGUCAUUGCACUGGAAUCAAUAUACAUAAUUUACGAUUAAAAAAUAAGUGUUCAUUCCGUGAUUGUCGUAUCAACUGGAUGUGCGUCCCAUCAAUCACUCCAAUUACACCUGGAAUUCCGGACGUCAAGUAAAAGGUUCUAUUUGCUUCAAUUUUUUCCUCAAUGGUCAAUGCUUUGGGCACAGAGUUUUCUCGAUGGCAUCGCACACUUCCAAGAUGCAUCGGGAAACCGAUUGUUGGGCUAGCCCUGAAUGCCUAUCUUGGCCGACCGAGUGUUGAUACCCGCCCUGUGCGAGGAACUUCAAGGUUGUUAACAGUUUUACAAUUUCUGGAAUUGAUGAGGUCCUUUGAGCGACUUUUAAUUAGGGUCUUAUUUUAAAACCGCAAUUUUUUACUAACCUUUCAUCGCUUAGAGACAUAAUGUCCGAAUUAUAUAAAAUAAUUCUUCUAUUAAUUCAUUCCUGAGAAUAAUAAUAAUUCCACAAUGCCACAGAAUUCAUUUUUAAAUUAUUCAACACAGUUUUAACGAACAAAUUAUUAUUAUUUUCUUUAUUUUGCUCGUUUAUACUUUGACAUUUUUGGAAGUAAUGCCAACUAUUACAAAAAAAGAAAAAAAAGCAAAGGUGAACAACAUUGUUAGUGAUGCGUAAGCAAUACAGAGUAUCAAUUGCCAAUCGCAUCGCAUUGGGCUUUCGAAUCGCAUUGUCUUUCGCAUCGCUUUAUAGAGUAAGCCCCCUGCUUUUUUAAACACAGAUGUCGGAUUGUGCAAUAGACACAGUUCUAAUUAGUUAGUUGAGAUAAUGAGUAAUAAGGUGUUAAGUUGUUGAAAUAAGAAAUAAAGAUAAGUGUAUAUGUAUUAAA
rnacentral:misc_RNA from 1 species